GUUUAUAUAGUUUAUUAAAACAUUACAUUUUCAUUGUGAAGAUAAAAUUUUAUUUUUAUAAAUAUAAAAAAAAA
rnacentral:tRNA from 1 species